rnacentral:SRP_RNA from 13 species
UCGAUGCGGCCGCCGCCGCCGAUGAUCUUCGGCUUCUCGCCCUUCUCCUUGCUGCCCUGUGGCGCUCCGCCCUGCGGGGCCCGCAGGCGCCGGAUGUGCU